AAUCGAGCUCCACUUCGUCGUGUGGGAGAUCCAAAGGAGGUGUCAUCUUUGGUAGCAUUCCUCUGCCUACCGGCAUCAUCUUACAUUACUGGACAGAUUAUUUGUGUUGAUGGUGGCAUGACUGUUAAUGGUUUUGAGUCAAACCUGCUCUAGGAACAUCAUAUGUGAUGGUAUUAUAGCCCUAAUUUUGCUGGCAUGUAUGGAGACUCUUUCAAACAUCUUAGCUUCCUCUACUGCUUCCAUGCCUGGAUCCUUUCUUUUUCCUGAAUAAUCUGCUUGUCAUGUCAAAUCUUCAGUUUUUUUGGUGUGGGGUUCCCUUGAAAACCUUGCUGCAUGAUGCUUAUAAUAAUGUUUGGAAAGUUUGCUAAUUUUUAUUUGGGUUCAAAUUUUAAUUUUUCAAAAAGUUUCUUAUUAUUUGAUGAGAUUCUUGUGAAGGGUGUUUUUAUAAGGAUUUUAAUUCCAUACAUUAAUCAUACAUCUUUAAUCUCAAUACCAUUGAAAUAUAUAUCCAAUCCUUUGUUGUUCUUUCAUUUUUUUGUAACUUAAAUGUAGUAGGAUCGGAAAUAUGCAAACACUUUCUACUUUUGACCAUUUGCUUUGCUAAAUUAGACCAACUUUUCAUAAUAGUAUUUCUUCAUUUUCAUUACAAUGAUCAUGCAUGGAUAUGGAAAAACUAAUCGGACUCUAAUGUCGUUCAAAUGCAUUUCAUAGAUCAAUCUUCAUCAUCAUAUCAUAAUUUCCAAAACUUGUUAGAACUUCUAAACUUAGUCAAUAUGUAUAGACAUGAUAUCCUCCAUGAUUUUUUUUACUGGAACGAAAAAAAGUCAUACAUUCUAUACUUGAUCCCUAGAAAAAAAAAAAAAAAAAGUCUUGCAAAAAUAUUAGGGUUGCACAAAGUUUGGUUGUUAGAAUAAGUAAAAAUGAUGUGCAUCAAAAAAUGUCUUUGAGAAUGGCAAAUAUGUGAGAGUGCUUUAAAAACUCAAAUAGCUUCAAAUGAAUUUUAAGGAAAUGAUUCCAACAUAUAUUCAUCUUCUUAUACCUUUCUGUGCUUCUCCACCAUUUGUAACGAUUUCCUCACUCAUUUGUAAUCCUAAUAAACCUUCCGGACUAUUUUAAAAUUUGUCAUUAUAUUUUAAGCUAAGCUCACCAUCUAUAGUAUCAAAAAAAUUUCUCCUUAAUCCAUGUGGGAUAUGUAUAAUGAAUAAUAUUUGCUCAAAGGUUAAAUAUAUGAAAAUAAUUAAGAUUCAAUCACAUAAAAAUUACAUAUAGCAAGUAGGGAUAACAAUUUUGAUACUAAUAUGAUAAAACGACUCAAAAAUUACAUGGAUUUUAGCAGUUUUGGGUUAAGUAUAAUCAUAUUUAUGUUAUAAUUGUGUAAACACAUUUAUUAAACCAAUGAUAUUGGAAUGUGACUAUUCAACUCAUUUAACCCAUUUAUUUAUUUAGAUCAAAACACAUCUAUGAUAUGAUUAUGAGAACUAAUUUAUGAUUGACAUAACCAAUUUAUAACUUAUUAAUUAAUUCAUAUAAAUUUAUUAAUUUUAUAGAUAUUUAAAAAAUAUUAAAAAUUUAAAACACUUUUUCAAUUCUAAAGAUGUCCUAUAAAACACCAAGGAGGUCACCCUUAUUUAUAUGUGAAAUUAGGGAAUUAAAUUUGAAAUAUCUGAUAUUUGAUUACUUAAUUUAAAGAAUUUGAUUUCUUAAUUUCAAUAACUUUUCACCCUCAUUUAAGAAAUUUGCCAACAAUCAAAUGUUUUUUCUAACUUCCUUUUUACUUCAAUUUCCCAAUUUAUUUCUCCUAUUUGGGAAAUCUAUCAAUAAGAAAAUAUUUCUCUCUAAUUCCUUUUUAACUUUAAUUAUUUUAUUUUAUUUUAUAAGACUAGAUUUUGUAACUGUUCAAAUUUUACCGUGUGUUAUUUUUAAAAUUGUAUAUCGCAUGUUCAAUAUAUAGAAUUCAUGACUUAUGAAAUCCAAAUUUUAUUGAACUAAAGAGUUAUAACUUUAGUGACAAAUUUUAUAGUAAUUUAAUCCUUCAUUUAUUUUUAAGCCUACAUAGCUCAACAAGUUGAAUAUAUUUUUAUCGUGUUAAUGGGUUAUCAGUCUUGAUUUAAUUUAAUUUAUCAAAUAGGUUAAAUAAAUGAUUCCCAAUUUGCCACCACAAUAACAAGAGACAACAGACAGAAGGGAAGGGAAACUAAACUACGUAAUGUGACUUUUCCUUUCAUAUUGCUUACUAUACUUGGUGUCUCUUAAUUUGUUUUUAUUCUAAGAUAUUAAUAAUAUGAUUUGAUUGAUUUAUACCCCAUAUAUGUCAUUUGAGGGAUUGAAAAUAUUGCAAAUUCAUAAUUAAAUUUAAAAGAUAAAUAUAUAUAUAUAUAUAUAUGAAUAAAAAAAAUCAUCUUUGUAUAAAAUAAUAAUUAGUAUAUUUUUAUCAUUUUUAUGUUAGAAGUUAAUAGAAAAUAUAUUUUUUAUUUUUCAAUAAUUUAUACAGAAUUAUAAUAAAAAUUGUAUGCUAGAUAAAAUUAUAUUUUAUAAUUUGUAAUAAUUUAAUUAUAUCAAUUUAAUAUUUUGAUAUUCGUCAUAAAUUAUAUAGAAAUAUUGGAGUGCAAAUACUAAACUACAUAAUAACAACAGGACACCUUAUUUAUCCAAAAUUUCAAAUUUUAAAUAAAAAAUAUUAAAAAAAUAAUUUUUAAAUUUAUUAAAUAUUUAUUUUUGUAAAAAAGUAAUUAAUAAAAAUUUUAAAAUUUUAAAUAUGAUUAAUGAGAUUAUUAUGGGGGUAUUUAUUACUAAUAUUUAUUAUUAAAAAAAUAAAAUAACAAUAUGAUAUUAAGAUUAUAUUUUUAUAAAUAUAGCAAAAUGAGAUUAUUCUAAAUUCAGUGAUGAUAACAUUAUAGUAAAAAUAAGGAGUGAUAUAAUUAUAAAUAUUUCACUAAGAGCAUAAAAAAUAAAAAUAAAAUAUGGUAAAUAUAGCGAGUAAUAUUGUUACCAUAAAUAUCUGGUGACACGACGACAGAUAUAUGAGUAAAGAAAAACCUGGGUAUUCUACAUAUAGAGAUUCAGAUACCAUUGCCUAUGUCAUGAAAUCAGAGUCCACAAGAAAACAUAAAAUGCUAUCGAUCCAUCGCUGUUUCUUGCUUCUGUUAUAAAUUAUGGAUACAAACAUAGAUGAAGAUGAGAAGUAGAAGGAGAAGAAACACUUAGCUUUCAAGGAGUGGUAGAGUAGAGGAGGAGACAUGGCUCAGACAUGUGGGUGCAGCUCUGGAGAUGGUAGAUGGUCUCUCAAGGGAAUGACUGCUCUUGUAACCGGUGGAACUAAAGGAAUUGGGUUGGUGUUACCUGUUUUUAUGUCUUUGGGUUUGGACUAUACCUUCCUAUAUAUAAACGUAUGUAUCAAUUCUGCAGGCAUGCAAUUGUGGAGGAACUGGCUGGAUUAGGAGCAACCAUACACACGUGUUCUCGAAAAGAAACCGAGCUCAAUGAAUGCUUAAAGGAUUGGAAAGCUAAAGGUUUUGGAGUGAGUGGUUCAGUGUGUGAUGUAUCCUCUCGGGCCCAAAGGGAGAAGCUAAUGGAGACUGUCUCUUCUGUGUUCAAUGGGAAGCUGAAUAUCCUUGUAAGUUCCUCUAGUCUCUAAGGUUCCUAUCCAUGAUAUUCCACAUACUUUGUCGAACUUCCUACAAUUUGAGUUCCCCUACUUGAUAUAUAUAUAUAUAUAUUUUGGUUCCGGAUUCAGGUCAACAACGCUGCUAUUGUUAUUCAGAAACCAACAGUAGAGGUCAAGGCAGAAGAGUUCUCAACAAUCAUGGCCAUAAAUUUAAUUUGAAUUAUAUUAAAUUUGAUAUUAUAAAUUCCUAAUUAAAUUUUAAAAUAUAUUAAAUUUAUUUGAUAGAAAUAUAUAUAAAUAAAAAAAAAUUAAUAUUUUCAUAUAAUAAAUUAUAUAAAAAUAAUAAUAUUUUUUUAUCAAAAUUGUUUUCAACAAUAUUUCAAAUAUAUAUAUAUAUAAAUUUGGGAAACUUGUGUUUUGCGGUUGCUAUUUAGGAAUUAUAUGGUUUUCGAAACCCUACAAUGGGAAAUAUGAGAAUCAGUUUUUAAUAUGAAAAGUGUUAUCAUUUUUGUGCACUCUGAGUCGGCUCCAUCUUCUAUGCCCAAAUUGUCCCUUCGUGUCUCCACUCACCAUCCUCAACAUCAUCCCAGCCUCCAUGUCAGUACGUAGGACCAUUGAAAUUAAGAAAAAACACUAAAAUCUAAAUUUAUAACUUCUAUAAAAAAAAACACCCCAUAUGCAAGUUUUCAAUUUGCUCAUUUGGAAGCUUUCUUUCAUCUUUCUUCGCUCCCGACAACCCAAAAUUUCUCUCAUUUUAGUUCAGAAACCCAAAUCCAAAACCCCAAAUGUGAUACAUUGUGGAAUUGAUUUCAUGGUCCUUAUCAAGAUGAAUGCACCAUGUACUAAACUUUAACCUAAUUCCUUUUGCCAAUUUUUCUGGCCCUAAGUUACUAGGAACUAUGGUUCCAGUUGGGUGGAUUUUGAGUAGUCAAAAACCAUUUUUAAAGCUCAAUAAAAAAUUUUAUGCCGGUCUGUGGACCCCGUAUUUCUGCCCAUGCACUUUCACUUGAUGGUGAACUCGUUUUUUAUUAGAAAAAAAUAUUUAUUUUUUUUAGAAAAUGACUGGGAGUCGCCACUUAUUUUAAAGGGAAAACAAAAUAAGAAAAAAAACUCUAAGUGCGAUUCCUUAUUUGGAAAAGAUGGUCUGCAAAAAAAAAAAAACCAAAUCUGGGCUCGAGAGUCAGGUUACUUAUUAGGAAGAUACGAUAAAGACCGUAACACCCCUCUAAGCCCCUAAAAUGGGUCUCUACUAAAUAUGAUGAAGCAGACGUGACAAUUAACUAAUAGAUUAAAAGAUACCUAAAUGAUAUUACAAUAGAAGCCAAACAUGUAUAAAGGAUAGUCAAAGUGAGAGUGCGAGCAUACCUUAGCAACAAACACUAAUGUGCUAUCAAGAAUUAGGGUUAGUGCACAAUAAUGAGUACAAAAAUAUGUCACAUGCGUCACUAAAUAGAAUAAGAAAUCACCCAUGGCAAACAUUGCACUUCACUCAAAUUUAUUUAAUUUUAUUAAGAAGACAUCACUAAUGUUGGCCCCUCACCAAAGCCCAAUUUAUUUUUGCAUAAAUCAAUUCCAUAAAUUUCAUCACUUGGAAUUACAAAAUUAAAUCCAUGUUUAUUUUAAAACAUUUUAAAAAUCAAGGAAGAUGUGAAAAUUGCUUGCCCAAGAUAAAUAUUAAUGACAACAAAUUUUAUUGAAAAAAUGGAUUUUUGAUGAACCUAAAAAUUCUAAGGAUGAUAAUUCGAAGAGUUAAAAUAAUUUGAAAAACUAGAAUUUGGAAAAUUAUUUGCAAACUGGGAUUUGAGAGAUUAUUUUUUUUAAAUCAAAGAUGAAGAAAUGGAAAGAAUGACAUGCACAUGGCCCAAAUGUAGCCAUGCUAGGUGCAUAAGUGGGAGAGAUGGUGAGGGAUAACCAUGCAGGAGUGGAGGGAGUCCUACAGCCGGAUUUUGCCUUGGAGCUCCUUAUCUACAGAAUUCUGCCAAUAUUCAUCUUCAAUAUUCUCCACUGAUGAUUCUUUGGUGGAUUGUAAAAAAAAGAUGAUCUUCAGAUAAAAAUUCGGCAGAAUGGUAGAUCCCUUGGGUCAAUAUGUGCUUGAGUAUCAUUUCCAUCAGUACCAUCCACAGUAACUUUUUCGUGUUGCUCUUUAGCAUCCUCUGCUAUCGCAGGUUGACCUCCAAGAAGUACUUCAGAACUGGGCAUCUCUCACCUGUCUCCAAGCUAAUCACACCCUUGUGGACAUGCACACCCUCAGAUAAACCGGGUUUUUUCCUAAGAUCCUCAACAUCUUCUUUUUAUCCCAGUAGAGCCAAAUGCUACACCUUGGACAUGGGCAUUUUCAUCCACAUUAGCACACACUGAAAGACCCUGAUCAUGUUCAAUUGGAACAAAAACAACAGAUUCAGCAUCAAGAUUGAUCAUUUCUUUAUUAUGCAAUGAUUUCAUUUCCUGAUGUAGAUCAGUCUUUGAGGCAUUGAUGAUCUCAGAAGAAGAAAACAACUUUUCUUGCAAAUAGAUAAACUCAUUAAUACCAGAGUCUAAAUUAGAUACAUGUUCCUCUACAUUCAAUUCUUGAGCCUGAGCCAAUCCAUUUGAGUCAAUUGGCAGCAGUAUCUUUCCAUUGGUUCGUCCGGAUUCCCUCUCUAAUUCACAGCCUUCAGACUACUCCAUCUUAUCACUAGUAUUACCAUCAUCAACAUCUUCAAAGAUGCUAUCUCCAACAUUAAAUUGAGAAUCGCAACAUUGUGUUGAGAUAUUAGGAAUGCUUUCCGUAUAUCAUUAUUUCCUUAUAUUAUUUAGUGUUGAGAUAUUAGGAAUGUUUAAAUAUUAGGAAAGUUGAGAUAUUAAGAAUAUUGAGAUAUUAUGAAUAUUGAGAUAUUAGGAAAGUUGAGAUAUUAGGAUAUUAAUUGUUAUUUCCUUAUAUCAUUCUUUCCUUGUAUCAUUCCUUCCCAUUCUUAGAAUGGUGAUUACCCUCUAUAUAUUCUCUGUACAUGAACGAAUGAAAGGAUGAAUGGAAAAAACUACUAUUUAUCAAUUUGAAGAUGGUAUCAGAGUCAUGGAACUGAAAUCCUGGAUAUUUUGUCGCUAUGGUAGUUCGACAGCGAUCAUCCAUCCUAAGACAAGCCCUAAUAUUGAUAAGUCAACCUUCAAAUGCACUCACUUCAAUAAGAUUGAUCCCACCAAUCUGGAUAUCCCACAAUUUCAAAGCAACGACUCUUGGUAUGACCAGGAAAACAAUGAGGAACCGAGGGUUUGAACCAUGGACCUUUAGAUCAUGUUUAGGCUAUCAACACUUUGUUAUUAAUGAUAAUAAUCGUGAUCAACGAAAGAAGGAUUCCAAGAAAACCUCGAUUGCAACUGUUGCCGAAAUAAAAACAGAGGCUAAUGUUGCUGAGAAAGCCUCUGCAUUGGUAGUCGCUACAGAUCAUGGUGGUAAGUUUUUAAAUACUUUUACACCUGUUAUUAAUAGUGCAUGGAUAAUUGAUUUUGGUGCUAUAGAUCAUAUGACUUUUGAUUCAAGACAGGUUUCACCACUUAGACCUUCCUCACAAAAAAUUGUUUCCACAGCCAAUGGUAACACAACCCCAGUCAUUAGGGAAAGAUCCUUAACUCUUACUGAUACUUUGAAUUUGGAUUUUGUUUUAGUUGUUCCAUCUUUAGAUUACAAUCUUUUGUCAGUUUCUCAAAUUACCGCAGCCUUAUCUUGUAUUGUCAUUUUUUGGCCUGAAUUUUGUGUGAUUAAGGACAUCCAAACAAGACAGACGAUUGGUUGUGGUAUUAAGCGGGGAAAACUCUAUUACUUGGACUUGCAGUCAAAGGAUUCAAAUAAGUUGCAACAAGCCUUGAUAGCAGAUGGAUCUGAGGAGGAGAAGAAAAAGUCUGAAAUUUGGUUGUGGCAUCGACGUCUGGGACAUGCUUCCUUUGGCUAUUUAAAAAAAUUGUUUCCUAGUUUUUUUGCAAAGAGUGAUAUUUCUGGUUUCCGUUGUGAUAUUUGUGAAUUGGCUAAAAGCCAUUGUGUUUCGUUUCCGCUAAUUUUGAACAAAAGUCCGUUUCCUUUUAUGGUUAUACAUUCUGAUGUUUGGGGCCCAUCCAAAGUCCCAACUUUGAGUGGCUCACGUUGGUUUGUUACUUUUAUUGAUGAUUGUACCAGAAUGACAUGGUUAUGCUUGAUGAAGACCAAAGAUGAAGUGAACUUGUUGUUUCAAAAUUUUCAUAAAAUGAUUGAAACUCAGUACAAUGCAAAGGUUCGGGUUCUGCGUAGUGAUAAUGGUGGAGAAUAUCAAAGUUCUGAUCUUCAAAAGUAUUUGGAAGGACAUGACAUCAUUCAUCAAACUACUUGUUCCAAUACACCCCAGCAAAAUGGAGUCGCUGAACGGAAAAAUCGACACUUGUUAGAGGUUGUUCGUGCUUUCUUGAUAGCAGCAAAAACACCGAUAUCUUAUUGGGGAGAAGCAAUCACAUUUGGUGCAUACUUGAUCAAUCGGGUACCUUCCAGCUCAAUUAACUUCCAAACACCUCUCCAAGCUCUUACUAAUGUCGUAAUUGCCCCAACUGUCCCAAAUCUACCUCCACGUGUUUUUGGUUGUGUGGCAUUUGUGCAUCUACACAAACACCAACGCACCAAGUUAACUUCUCAUGCAUUGCAAUGUGUGUUUGUUGGAUAUGCAUUACACAAAAAGGGAUAUCGAUGUUACCAUCCUCCAAUACCAUCCUCCAACUCGACAAAUGUAUAUUACAAUGGAUGUGGUGUUUCAUGAAGAUUCGAUGUAUUUUUCAUCUGAGUCUGAACUUCAGGGGGAGUACCAUAAGGAAAUUCAGACUCUCGAUUAUGAUUAUCAUAUCUCUAAGGAGAAUGAAUCUGGAUAAUCUGAACUAGUGAACCAAGAAGCGGGUGAGUUGGAUAUGAGUGGUCAACAAUUUGGGUCCGAAGACGUCUUCACUGAAAUACCAAACCAAUCGUCGUCUGUUGAAGGUGUUCUUAAUUUGGAACCUGAUCCAUUCAUGAAACGGUUACCACACCGUCAUAAUAGAGGUAUUCCUAAACCCACAUAUGAACCUGAAUUGUCUACCAAAGUCAAAUAUCCCAUGAGCAACUAUGUGUCUAACCAUCGUUUGUCUGAAUCAAAUAAGUCAUUUGUAAAUCAAUUAUCUACUGUAGCUAUUCCUAACAGUGUGCAGGAAGCCUUAGUUGAUCCAAGAUGGAAAGCAGCCAUGAAUGAAGAGAUGAAAUCAUUGCAGAAGAAUGAAACAUGGGAACUCGUAGAAUGUCCACCAGAAAAGAAGCUAGUUGGGUGUCGUUGGAUCUAUACUGUGAAGUACAAGGCAGAUGGUAGUAUUGAACGAUUUAAAGCAAGACUGGUAGCAAAAGGGUACACUCAAACUUAUGGAAUUGACUACACAUAGACAUUUGCACCUGUAGCUAAGAUCAACACAGUUCGAUUAUUACUGUCUUUAGCUGCAAACCUAGAUUGGCCAUUACAACAGUUCGAUGUGAAAAAUGCCUUUUUGCAUGGCUAGUUAUCUGAAGAAGUAUAUAUGGAUCUUCCACCAGGAUGCAUGGUGUCAGAAAAGCAAUGUCAGAAGGUGUGCAAAUUGAAGAAGUCAUUGUAUGGGUUGAAGCAAUCCCCGAGAGCAUGGUUUGGAAGGUUCACAAAGUCAAUGAGAGCUUUUGGCUAUCGUCAAAGUAAUUCAGAUCAUACUUUGUUCCUGAAAAAGCAACAUGGUAAGAUUACCGCACUCAUCGUAUAUGUGGAUGACAUGGUAGUUACAGGAAAUGAUCCUGAAGAAAGAAAAGCUCUGCAAAAUUAUCUAUCUAGAGAAUUCGAAAUGAAAGAUCUAGGUCCUCUGAAAUACUUUCUUGGGAUUGAAGUUUCUCGAUCAAGUGAAGGAAUUUUUCUGUCUCAAAGAAAGUAUGCCUUAGAUCUUUUACAGGAGACUGGAAUGUCGGGAUGUCAACCUGUUCAUACACCAAUAGAAGAAGGUCUGAAAUUGUGUGUUAAGCCUAAUCAAGUAUCAACCGAUAAGGGAAGAUACCAGAGACUUGUGGGGAGAUUAAUGUACUUAGCUCAUACAAGACCAGAUCUUGCUUAUGCAUUGAGUGUAGUGAGUCAAUACAUGCAUAAUCCUGGAGAGCAACAUAUGAAUGCAGUUAUGCGUAUUUUGAGGUAUUUGAAGAAUGCUCCUGGGAAGGGAAUUUUGUUCGCUAAAAAUGUUAAUCAUCAGAGUAUAGAAGUAUAUACUGAUGCUGAUUGGGCCGAUGCAGUGGAUGAUAGGCGAUCUACAUCUAGAUACUUUACCUUUGUAGGUGGUAAUCUUGUGACAUGGAAAAGUAAGAAGCAGAAUGUCGUCGCUCGUUCAAGUGCAGAAGCAGAAUUUAGAGGUAUGACUCUAGGACUUUGUGAGGCAUUAUGGCUAAAACUUCUCUUACAGGAUUUAGGUUACCUAUCUAGGCAACCAAUACGAUUGUUUUGUGACAAUAAAGCCGCAUGUGACAUUGCUCAUAAUCCAGUACAACAUGAUCGUACAAAGCAUGUCGAGGUGGAUAGAUUCUUCAUUAAGGAAAAGUUGGAUGAUAAGAUUGUGGAAUUGCCUAAGAUUUGAUCAGAAGAUCAAUUGGCCGAUAUCCUCACCAAAGUUGUCUCAAGUCAAGUGUUCUCAAAAUUUUUAGACAAGUUGGGCAUGUGUGACAUCUAUGCACCAACUUGAGGGGGAGUGUUGAGAUAUUAGGAAUGUUUUCCGUAUAUCAUUAUUUCCUUAUAUUAUUUAGUGUUGAGAUAUUAGGAAUGUUUAAAUAUUAGGAAAGUUGAGAUAUUAAGAAUAUUGAGAUAUUAGGAUAUUAGUUGUUAUUUCCUUAUAUCAUUCUUUCCUUAUAUCAUUCCUUCCCAUUCUUAGAAUGGUGAUUACCCUCUAUAUAUUCUCUGUACAUGAACGAAUGAAAGUAUGAAUGGAAAAAACUACUAUUUAUCAAUUUGAAGACAUUGAUACUCAAAAGGACGUUCCCAUGCAUCCAUUGCAGUAUUUAAAUCCCAAUGUGAUCGAUCAUCUUGCAAUGAUGACUCAUGUGUUCUAGUUGUUUCAUCAUAUUUAUUUUUUAAAAGAUCUACGACACAGUCACAUGAGAAUCUGGCAAAAAUGUGGCAACAAGUUUUUUUUCGAGCUCUGUGGAAGAACAGGAACCAACUUCUUUAGUAGAAAUUUUAGCAGAACUCAUAAGGUCUUCCAUGGGAAAUCCCUUUGGCAAUGAGCAUAAUUCAUUAUUCACCAAAACAUCAAGAGAACCCUCAUGUGGAGAAGAUUUUCCAUCUCGGGAAACUCCUCCUCAAAACCACAUUCUCCUCCUAUGCUGCUACUGCAUGCAGUAGCCGCAAAUAGGCUGAAGAUGGAAACAGUGUCUUUUGGACUUGAGUUGGAUUGUUGAUCAUUCUCUGGAAGUGGGUUAUGAUCAGAAAUUUGAAUGGAGCGAAGUUCUAGUCCUUCCAUGGAAGAACGUAGAUUAAACUAGGGCCGCUUUCCUUUCCUGUUAUGUUAUCUUCUAUUUCUUGCUUAUCUUUUCAGCUAAGGCCCACCAACUAUCUUCACCCUUCCUUCGUCCCGCUUCCUCCACUUCUUUCUUUUCUUCUAUUCUCACUGCCACUACAGAAGCUGGAUGGAUUCAGAAUGUCCACUAAGAGUUCUCAUAUGGUCUUCGGAAAGGCUACCUUAAUUCAGAUUUCCUUAUUCACGUGCCUGAAUGCUACAUACUUGAAGUCACCUGGAUUUCUCCUCUGUUUGUCACCAAGUUCGUAAUAUUUGUACCGAUGUUAGGAUCACGUGUUGCGCUUUUGGCACAUCUGAAAGUCAUCGUUACUCCAUGCCAGACACUCAAAUUGUUCUCAAGCUUGGACCUGAAAUGGAGAGCCGUUCUAAAGAGACCAUGUCGUGGUGGCUUGAUCCAUAUUUCUCGAAAGUCGUUGCAAACAGCAUGAUGCCAAACAGACAUGGCGGUCACGAGGAGAUGGGUUAGGAGGAUGAGUUUGAAUGGAAAAGGUGGAGAAAGAAGUGGGUUUUAUAGGGAUAGAGGUUGAAUGGAGCUAUGGGUAGUAAGAGAAGUGGGUUUGGUGGUGGAAUGGAAGAUGGGGAUAUGGAGAUUGGGAAAAUGAAGGUUAGUAGGAUGGUGAGCUGGUUUGAUUCACGCAGGUGCAACAUGCAUGGGGUGCAGAGGCCAAGAAACAGGUGUAGUGUGAUUUCCUUUGCUAGGGAACCAGGCAAUUUAACGGAAGAGGUAAUCCCAUGUCGACAUAGAGGGCAUGGAAUAGACCCAGGUGGGCCCACCAUGGCAGCUUUGAGUUAGUCUAAGCUAAACUCGGUGAAGCUAGGCAGCAAGUUCCAGUCAGCUUUACCCCCAUUCUUGAUAUCAAAGAGCAUGUGUGCAACAACACUUAGGUGGGCUGUAAUCUCAUUGUUGUAUAGUUCUUUAGAUAACCAGUUCAUAAUAAGCUCAUGUAUUGUGAUACUGUACAAUUAGCAUAGUGUAACGCCCAAGUUUCUUUUUAGGAAAAUAUUAUUAAUAAUAAUAAUUAAUUAAUUAAUUAAUUAAUUUAAUAAAAUGUAAGAGGGGUGAAAAUGUAAUUUUACGAAUAAAUACCCUAGGUAUAAUUGUAUAAAUUAGAAUUUUGUUCUUCCUGUUCUUUUCUGAAUCGUGUUCCUAUUCGCAGAGAAUUCCUGAAAACGUAAGAUUGAAGUCGGAUUUCAGGGUUUAAAGAACAUAUCUCUAUAGGUAAGAUUCUAAACCCUGUAUUAAUAUUUUAGAUUCAUUAGUUAAUUUUAAGCAUAUUAGAUAUUUUUUGGAAAACCCAAAUCUAGAUUAGGGUUAGUUUUUUUUUUUAAUUCAUUUUAAUAUCAAAAGAGUGAAAAUUUAAGAUUUUGAUUUAUUGUUGGAAAUUGGGAAAUCUUAGGUUUUUAGAUGAAAAAAAAAUAUUUGGAAGAUUUCGAUUUAGACUAGGGUUAAUUUAUUUUUUAAAAAAUAAAUAAAUAAAUAUAUUGUUAAUUGUGGCUUAAGGGAUUAGAAAAAUAUUAAAACAAUUUGAUUUAACAAAAAAAACGCGUGUGCACUGGAAGAUAGAAAAUUUGUGGAAAAAAAAAAUUGUUGCCUGCGUGGGAACUGGUUAGUUUUAGGUUAAUAAAUAAGAUAUAGUAAUAAUGGUUGAAUGUAAUAAAUAGAAUGAGGUAGUUGCAAGGGGUGCAAUCCAUGUGUGCUGGAAGCAUGACUCAAAAAGUACACCAGCCUAAGAAAUAAAAAUAAAUAAAAAAAUAAAGCUUGAAAUAGCCAAGACAUUGUUACUACUUAAAUAACUAAUGAACUACUCCAAAGAAACUUCUCUUACAUGUAGAAAUGUCAACAAUAAAUAUAUAUAUAUAUAUAUAUAUAUAUAUAUAUUGUAGAAUUUUAUAAUGAAAUAAAAGUGCAUUUUAAUUAAAUUAGUAAUGAGUUAUUAGAAACAAAUUGGGAAUUUAUUAAUUUAUUUAAAUAAGGAAUAUAUUAGUUAAAUUAUAGAUAAAUAGUAAUAGUUAUUUCUCUUAUGUUAUAUUAGGUGAAGAUUAGAUUUUCCAGAAUUACUUUUCUCCCAAGUUUUCAAGGACUUCUUUUGAGGUAAGGGAAAUUAAUGCAGUUAUUAUUAUUUUUUUAGAAAUAAAUUUUUAUAUACAUCAUUUGGAAAUAUUUUGAAUUAAUAUUCGUUUUAUGCAUCGAUAAAAUAUGUUUUGUAUGAAUAGUAUGUUAGAACUUUAUAUUUUGUUUACAAUAAAGAAAUGUGGAGAUAUUAUGUUUUGCAAAUUCGAAUAAUUGAAAUAAGUGUUUGACUCUGGUUUGUUUGGCCCUUGUCAACGGGAUAUAAUAGUUGACCUUUACAUUUCUUGGUGGGGAAUGUAAUUGAUUUGGAUCCCAACCUCUAAGGGUUUGGUUAUAGGUUACUAGUACUAGUAGUGUUUGGUUCCGUUCACCUUAAAGGAACAAUUUGAGGCUAGCCACCUAUUCGAAAAGUCUCACCUAAUUGGGCACCAUUUGAUGUUUGAUGAUCAGAGUAAAUAAAUAAUUUGAAUGUUUUGAUCGAAUUUGAUAUGAAAAUGCUUGAAUCAGAAAUGAAAGUGUACAAUUAAAAGUUUUGAAUGAAUUGGCAAAACUGACUCGAAGGUUUAUAAAAAUAAUUAGUUAUAAUAUCUCCUAUUUUGCAAGUGAACUUGAAAUAUUUGAUCCAUGAACUGCAUUAAUGUUCCUUAUUGGGCUUUGAGCUCAUUCCUAUUUGUUGAUUACUUUUUAGGCAGCCUUAGUUCGAGCGAGGAGUGAUGGCUAGAUCAGGGAAUGGUCAUCAUUAGGAUUUUGAUUAGGAUGUUAUUUGGACAUUGUUAGCUUAUAAGUUUAUGUUCAUUUGGAUUAUUUGGUUUUUGGAAGCUAUUUAGAUAUUGAGCUUUUAAAUAUAUUUUUUGAUAAGUUUGAAGUUGAGAUUUGGAGAUUAUGAAAAUUUGUUAGCACUUGAUUUAUUUGAGUUUGCAAUCUAUUUGGAUAAUGGAUUUUGGUUGAUGGAUGCUUAGUUUUAAAGUUAUGUUCGAAGAUUUUAGAAUUUUGUUCCGCUACUCUGAACAGGGUUUUGGUAAUUGAUUACUUCCAAUUACAAUAUGAUUGUUUGGGUCAAGUUACACUUUAAGCCUUUAGGUUUGAGGUGUGAAAUGACCAUCAUGCCCUUGGAAUGGGUCUUGGGGCAUGACAAAGUGGUAUCAAAGCGCUAGGUUGUGAUCUUGAUGGGAACUUGUUUAGUUUACCUUUGGGAAUAGAUGAGUGACGCAUUAGUUUGAGUUUCAACUUCAUCUAGUCCGAUUCUUUUUAUUCUUUACAAUUUUGAUUUGUUUAUUUGGCUUCUUAGUGACUAAUUUAGUUAUACCUGUUGCUUUAUAGGACACCAUGCCACCAAGAAGACCUACAUCUUCCCAAAACAGUCAGGCUAAUGAUGAUAUACCUCCUCCAUAUGAGGUUUUGCCCCCUAUGAGUAUUGAAGGGCUUCUUAGAUACUUAGGGACUUUGGCUGGCUUAGUUGAGCGUCAGGCUAGAGCUAUUGGAAGUAAUGGUCAAGGACAAUCCUCAUCUACUAGGAGUAGCUCCUUUGACGACGUUAAAAAGUUGGGUCCCCCCUACUUUUCUGGUAUUUCAGAUCCAACAGAGGUAGAGGCUUGGAUUAUGAAAAUAGAGAAAUUCUUUGAUGUCAUUGAUUGUUUUGAUGAGCAAAAAGCCUCUUAUGAAGCAUUUAUAUUAGACAAAGAGGCAGACCAUUGGUGGCGCAUGACUAAGAGGCUUUUGGAAAAUCAGAGGCCUAUUGUUUGGAGUUAGUUUAGGGAGGUUUUUUAUAAGAAGUACUUUCAUGACAGUGUUCGAUGACAAAAGGUGGGAGAGCUUUCCCGUUUGGAACAGGGGAAUUUGAUUAUGGCCCAGUAUGAGGCUAAGUUUAUCAAACUAUCACGUUUUGCCCCACAGUUGAUUGCUACAAAUGAGGAAAAAGUAGUUAAGUUUCAGGAUGGACUGAAGUCUUAUCUGAAAAAUAAGAUAUCAAUUCUGAAGCUUAGUGUUUAUUCAGAGGUGGUGGACAGAGCCCUUAUUGCAGAUAAGGAUAAUGAAGAGCUUCACCAGUAUAGGGAACAACAAAGGAAGAGGAAUAGAAAUGAUGGUGCUCAUGGUAACCAAACAUAGAAAAUGUCUGCUCCAAGUAGAAAUCAGAAUAAAGGAAAAGCAACACAAAAUUUAGAUGAGAUUUGUCCUACUUGUGGCAAAAAGCACGGGGGUAGGUCAUGCUAUAGAGAGACAAAAGGUAGCUUUGGUUGUGGAAAACAAGGACAUAUGGUUCGGGAUUGUCCAGAAAGUAAGAAGUUUGUAUUUGGGAAGCCUAAUGAGGAGAAUAAAGAGGAUAGACAGAAACCUAGGGCUCAAGGGCAAGUAUUUUCUAUGACUCAUAGAGAUGCUCAAGCUACUUCUAAUGUAGUGACAGGUACUCUUCAAAUUCACACCUUAUUUGUUAGAGCCUUAAUUGAUCCCGGUUCAACCCACUCUUUUGUUUUUGUAUCUUUUGCUGGUUUGUUGGGUAUGCCGAUUGAUAACAUGGACUUUGAUUUAUUUGUUGCUACUUUGUUGGGAGAUUUUGUUGUGUUUAAUAAAAUACUUAGAGAUUGUUGUGUGAUGAUUGGGUAUAGAGAGAUGAUAGUUGACUUAGUACUUCUUGACCUCUAAGAUUUUGAUGUGAUUUUGGGAAUGGAUUGGUUAACUUCAUACCAUGCAUCUGUUGAUUGUUUUGGGAAAAGAGUGACAUUUAGCAUUCCUGGUCAGCCUGAUUUUAGUUUUGAGGGGAAGCAUGUGGACAAACCACUACGUAUGAUCUCAGUUUUGCGAGCUAGUUCUUUGCUCAAGAAAGGUUGUCAAGGUUUUUUGAGUUAUGUUGUGAAUGAGGAAAAUGAUUUAAAGUUGGAAGACAUACCCAUUGUAAAAGACUAUCUUGAUGUCUUUCCAAAGGAUCUACUUGGUUUGCCACCAGAGAGGGAGGUGGAGUUCACCAUUGAUGUGACACUAGGGACAACUCCUAUCUCUAAGGUCCCUUACAGGAUGGCUCCUUUAGAGCUUAAGGAAUUGAAGAUUCAACUUCAGGAGUUGUUAGAUAAGAGCUUCAUUAGGCCUAGUGUUUCACCUUGGGGAGCUCCUGUUUUAUUUAUAAAAAAGAAAUAUGGAUUUAUGAGACUCUCCAUUGAUUAUAGGGAGCUGAAUAAGGUGACAGUGAGAAACAAAUAUCCCCUUCCUCGGAUUGAUGAUUUGUUUGAUCAACUUCAGGGUGCAUGUGUGUUCUCUAAAAUUGAUCUUCGGUCUAGUUAUCAUCAGUUAAGGAUUAGAAGUGAAGAUGUACCUAAGACUGCUUUUCAAACUAGAUAUGGGCAUUAUGAGUUUUUGGUUAUGCCUUUUGGUUUAAUUAAUGCACCUACUGCUUUUAUAGACUUAAUGAAUAGGGUAUUCAAGCCCUAUCUAGAUUAGUUUGUGGUAGUUUUUAUAGAUGAUAUUUUGGUGUACUCAAAGAGUAGUGAAGAGCAUGAGCGCCAUUUGAGUAUUGUAUUGCAGACUCUCAGAGAUAAAUAAUUGUAUGCUAAACUAAAGAAGUGUAAGUUCUGGUUAGACAAAGUCUCUUUCCUUGGGCAUGUGGUGACCAAGGAUGACAUCUUUGUUGACCUUGGAAAGGUAGAUGUCGUGUCAAGUUGGAGAAAACCUAAUGCUGUGAUCGAAAUUCGAAGUUUCUUAGGACUGGCUGGUUAUUAUAGGCGAUUUAUUGAGGAGUUCUCUAAGAUUGCCCUACCUCUAACCAGGUUGACUCAGAAAAGGGUUAAGUUUUGAGUGGUCUAAUGAUUGUGAACGUAGUUUCCAAGAGUUAAAGAACAUAUUAGCGACAACUCCUAUUUUGACUAUCAUUUCAAGCUUAGGAGGGUUUAUGGUGUAUAGUGAUGUCUCUCGUCAGGCUUUGGGUUAUGUUCUUAUGCAACAUGGGAAAGUUUUAGUUUAUGCUUCUAAACAAUUGAAGCCUUAUGAAAAAAAUUAUCCUACUCAUGAUUUGGAAUUAGCUACAGUGGUUUUUGCACUUAAGAUCUGGAGACAUUUUCUUUUUUGUGAAACUUGUGAGAUAUUCACAGAUCAUAAGAGUUUGAAGUAUUUAUUUUCCCAAAAGGAAUUGAACAUGAGACAAAGGAGGUGGAUUGAACUACUUAAAGACUAUGACUACAUUAUUCAGUAUCACCCAAGGAAGGCGAAUGUUGUGGCUAACGCCUUGAGUAGGAAAUCUGUUGGUUCCUUAGCAGUUAUUAGAGGUUGUCAGAGGCAAUGCUUGGAAUAUUUGACGAGUUUACAAGUCCAUAUGAGAGUUUUGGAUUCGAGAGCUCUUGUGGCAAACUUUAGAGUACAACCAGACUUAGUUGGGAGAAUUAAGGCCCUACAAAAGAACGAUUUGAAUUUAGUGCAAGUUAUAGAAGAGGUUAAAAAUGGCAGUAAGCCUGACUUUGUUUUAUCAGAUGAUGGAAUUUUGAGGUUGGGCUAGACUGUGUGUCCCAAAUGAUGGAGACUUAAAGAUAGAGUUUUUAGAGAAAGCUCAUUCUUCUAAGCUUUCGAUCCACCCAGGAGGGACAAAAAUGUACAAAGAUUUGAAACAGAAUUAUUGGUGGUCAGGUAUAAAACGAGAUAUUGCGCAAUUUGUGGCUCAAUGUUUGGUGUGUCAACAAGUGAAAGUUGAGCAUCAACGACAAGCAGGGUUUUUGCAACCACUUUCUAUUCCCGAGUGGAAAUGGGAACAUAUUACUAUGGAUUUUGUGAGAAGGUUACCAAGGACCUUAGGGGGCAAUAAUGCAAUUUAGGCGAUUGUUGAUCGAUUGACAAAGUCUGCUCAUUUUUUGCCUAUGAAAGUCAAUUUUUCUAUGGAUUGUUUGGCUUCUCUUUAUAUUAAGGAGAUUGUGAGAAUGCAUGAUGUACCUAUUUCUAUAGUAUCUGACAAAGAUCCUCGUUUCACUUCUAGAUUUUGGCAUAGUUUACAGAAAGCAUUAGGUACUAAGUUGAGUUUUAGUACUGCUUUUCAUCCGCGAACUGAUGGUCAAUCAGAGAGUGUAAUUCAGGUCUUGGAAGAUUUGUUAAGAGAUUGUGCUUUGGACCUAAAAGGUAAUUGGGAUGAUUAUUUGCCCGUAGUGGAGUUUGCCUAUAAUAAUAACUUUCAAGCUAGCAUUGGGAUGGCACCUUUUGAGGCUUUGUAUGGUAGGAGAUGUUGAUCUCCUGUUUGUCGGGAUGAUGUUGGAGAGAAGAAAAUUUUGGGGCCUGAACUUGUGCAAUUGACUGUUGAAAAGGUCUCUUUAAUUAAGAAAAGAUUAAAAGUAGCACAAAGUAGAUAGAAGAGUUAUGCUGAUAAUCGCAGACGAGAUUUGGAGUUUAAGGUGGGUGAUAAUGUUUUCUUGAAAGUUUCACCUAUGAAGUCUAUAAUGAGAUUUGGAAUAAAAGGGAAACUUAGUCCUCAUUUUAUGGGACCAUUUGAGGUAUUAGAAAGAGUAGGCACUUUGGCUUAUAAAGUGGCCUUACCCCCAAGUCUAUCUAAGAUUCAUAAUGUAUUCCAUGUUUCGACUUUGAGGAAAUAUAUUUAUGAUCCCUCUCAUGUUGUGGAGUUGGAGCCUAUUCAAAUUUCUGAGGACUUGACCUAUGAAGAGGUACUCGUUCAAAUUGUGGAUGUGAUGGAUAAGGUAAUACGACAUGCUGUUGUCAAGUUGGUAAAGGUCUAGUGGAGCAAUCAUAGUAUCCGAGAGGCCACUUGGGAGUUAGAAGAAGAGAUGAGAGAAAAACAUCCUCAAUUAUUUCAAGACUCAGGUAUGUCAAGUUUAGAGGACUAAACUUUUGUUAAGGAGAGGAGGAUGUUACGCCAGCCCAAGUUUCUUUUUAGGAAAAUAUUAUUAAUAAUAAUAUUAAUGUAGACCCUCAAUUUUGUCCCUCGACACUGGCAUUUAUCCUUCGGGUGUCACAUCCACCCAUCGUUCGCAUAUAGCACCACUUGGGUCCCUUUUGGGCUUAGUCGGUGUCCGAGCCUCAUGUGGGUUUGUGUGUGGUCCAUUGUGGUGCAUAUGUGGUUCAUUUCGGAGGGUCACCAUGGCCAUUUUCCUAGUCGUUCACAUCACGCUAUAGGAAGGAAGUGGGUCAUCCCGAUGUUUUAGCUUAGUUGGGGUUUAUAGGGGCAUGUUGAGGUUCGGAGCACUCGGGCUUGUUUUGAUUGUAUCUCCCUCAUCCAAAAUUGGAAUCAAGAACCGUUUCUUUUUAUGGAUUCCUUAUUCUUCUAGGAACAUUCUGUAAAAUUUUCAAAUUUUUUUGCAACCGGUCGGCUGGUUGGCAGCCGGUUCAGCCGGUUCAUCGAGUCAGCCGGUGUAGAACACUGAUUUUUGGUAAUUGUUUUGAUCAUAUCUCCCUCUUCCAAACUUGGAAUCAUGCAACGUUUUUUUUAAUGGAUUCCUUACUCUACUAGGAACAUUCUGUCAAAUUUUCAGAAUUUUUUUCCAUCGGUUCGACCAGUUGGCAUCCGGUUCGGCCGGUUCGGCCGGUUCAUUGAGUCAGCUGAGGUAAAACACUAAUUCUAGUAAUUUUGAGGCCCAAAUCCUACAUGGCUCAGGCCCAUAAGCUCCAAAUCGGUUUUGGGCAAUGUUGUGGGUCCAUUUUGGGCCUUGGUUUGGGUUCCUUGCAGCCCACCACGAAUCCAUAUGGAUUCUUGGUGGUGAAGCAAGCUGAAAAAACUGAAGGGAGUGAGCUAGCCUUGUAAGUCUAAGAGAAGUAAUGAGGGGUGUGGUUCCCAUGCUGAUGAAGGGAAUUUCGGUGCUGAAGGGGAAGGAACCCAGGAGGCUCAAAUGCUAAGAGGGGUAUGAGUAUAAAAGGUGAGAGGAUAGGAGAGCAAAGUGACCUUUGGACAUUUUUGAAGAGGGGAAAUUCUGCUGGUGAGAAAAACAAAAGGUCAGUAGCAUCUUCUGAGUUGAGAGUGUGGAGGAAGCUUCAGCACUGUGGUUUUUUUGAAGAGGAGAGUGACAGCCUCUCAGUUUUGGAAGUCAUCAUCGGCAUGCACGGAUCAUAUUUGGUGGAGAUUCUAAGGUAAGCACGCUGAAUUUUCUUUACAUAUAGUUUAUCUUCCUCGUCUUCAUAUGUUUUUUCUCCUUCCUAAUCAUCUUUUCUUCCCUUUGAUAUGAAGAUUGUAUUGCUUGGGUGUGGAUAAUAAAGGCCACACAUGAUUGUUGUUGUUUGCUUCCUUGGUCACUUAGGAACUUUCUGACCGAAUUAGGGAUUUUAUACCAACCGGAUGGACCGAUUUGGAACCGGUUCAACCGGUUCAGCACCAUAGCUGGCUGCCUCUGUCAGCCAUGAGGAAUACCUGCAUUUCUUUGUUUGGUUCUCACUCAUCCGAGCUCGGAAUUGAGAACCGUUUCUUUUGUUUGCUUCCUUAAUCACUUAGGAACUUUCUGACCGAAUUUGAGAUUUUUUACCAACCGACUGAACCGGUUUGGAACCGGUUCAACUGGUUCAGCACAAUAGCUGGCAGCCUCUAUCAGCCAUGAGGAACACUUGCCUUUCUUUGUCUGGUUCUCACUCAUCCGGGCUUCCUUAAUCACUUAGGAACUUUUUGACCAAAUUUGGGAUUUUUUACCAACCGGAUGGAUCGGUUGGGAACCGGUUCAACCGGUUCAGCACCAUAGCUGGCUGCCUCUAUCAGCCAUGAAGAACACCUGCCUUUCUUUGUCCGGUUCUCACUCAUCCGGGCUCGGAAUUGAGAACCGUUUCUUUUGUUUGCUUCCUUAAUCACUUAGGAACUUUCUGAUCGAAUUUGGGAUUUUUUAUCAACCGGCUAAACUGGUUGAGAACCGGUUCAACUGGUUCAGCACCAUAGCUGGCUGCCUCUAUCAGCCAUGAGGAACACCUGCCUUUCUUUGUCUGGUUCUCACUCAUCCGGGCUCGGGAUUGAGUGUCAUUUCUUUUGUUUGAAUCCUCACUCAUUUAGGAGUUUUCUAGAAAAAUUUUGGAAUUCUUCUCAAUAGGUUGUACCAGUUAAGAACUAGUUCAACCUGUUCUGUUGGAGGACUUUAGGUAGCCCUUGAUUUUGGCAUUUUUCGAGCCCUUAUCCAUGGGGGGCUCAAACCCAUUUGCUAUAGGGCACUUGUGAGCCAUCUUGAAGGUUUAAGUCAGUGUUUGAUUUCAGUUAGUAUGGGCAAUUUGGAAGUUAUGGGUGGUGUGGUCUAGAUGAGUCUAGUUCGAUUUGUAUGACAUUUGGGGAGUCUCUUACCUCAUUUCAACCAGCUAUCUUCCUUUUUGGCACAAGCUUUGAUGCUUGAUUUUGAAUACAUGUUGCGUGAUUGACUCACCCUCUGCUGCAGCGCUUGGCUAGAGACCACAGGUACGCAACGUUGGCUUUGGUUGUUGAAUUCAUAUGCAUGCAUGGUGCUUAAUCUUGAAUGUUUGUUAUGUGUUUAUCUGUGUUUGGCUGACCUUUUAUGCAGCGCUUGGCUAGGGACCACAGGUACGCACCCAUUGUUUUAUUUGGUUGAAUUCAUAUGCAUGCCAAAUACCAAUUAGGAUUGUGUGAUUCAUGACAUCUAUUUAGCCUAAGGUUUCAUUUGACCUUUGACCCAUAUGCUCCCACAUACCCAAUUCAUUAGUAGAGACCGAGUUUCGGGCCUAGAGGGGUGCUACCUCGCAUGAGGUACCUUCCCAACGGGUAACCUGAUCCCCGGACCCAGAAUCUAGUUUUCGUAGACCGCUUUUUCCAUACUGGGGUCAUUAGGGGUUUUUGUUCUUACUUAAUUUUCCCCAUUUUAAAAACAAAAAUAAAAAGUAAGUGGCGACUCCAAACAACAUCGUUCCUCACCGGGGGCGGGUUUUUCAAAACUGGAAAACACCAACUUUUUCAUUUCUUUCUUUUCUUUUAAAAGCGAGUCGCGUCGGUCCGGUGGAUCGGGUGAGGGUCCACAAUUAAAUUAAUUAAUUAAUUUAAUAAAAUGGAAAAUGGGUGAAAAGGUAAUUUUAUGAAUAAAUACCCUAGGUAUAAAUUAGAAUUUUGUUCUUCCUAUUCUUUUCUGAAUCGCGUUCUUGUUCGUAGAGAGUUCCUGAGAACGUAAUAUUGGAGUCGGAUUUUAGAGUUUGAAGAACAGAUCUUUACAGGUAAGAUUCUAACCCUUGGAUUAAUAUUUUAGAUUCAUAAGUUAAUUUUAAGCACAUUAGAUAUUUUUUGGAAAACCCAAAUCUAGAUUAGGGUUAGUUUUAUUUUUAUUUUUUUUUAAUUCGUUCUAAUAUCAAAAUAGUGAAAAUUUAAGAUUUUGAUUUAUUGUUGGAAAUUGGGAAAUCUUAAGUUUUUAGAUGAAAAAAAAUAUAUUUGGAAGAUUUCAAUUUAGACUAGGGUUAAUUUAUUUUUAAAAAAUAAAUAAAUAAAUAUAUUGUUAAUUGUGGCUUAAGGGAUUAGAAAAAUAUUAAAACAAUUUGAUUUAACAAAAAAAAAAAAAAAACGCGUGUGCACUAGAAGAUAGAAAAAUUGUGGGGAAAAAAAUUUGUUGCCUGCGUGUGGGAACUGGUUAGUUUUAGGUUAAUAAAUAAGAUAUAGUAAUAAUGGUUUAAUGUAAUAAAUAGAAUGAGGUAGUUGCAGGGGGUGCAAUCCAUGUGUGCUGGAAGCAUGACUCAAAAAGUACACCAGCCUAAGAAAUAAAAAAAUAAAGCUUGAAAUAGCCAAGACAUUGUUACUACUUAAAUAACUAAUGACCUCCAAAGAAACUUCUCUUACAUGUAGAAACGUCAACAAUAAAUAUAUAUAUAUAUAUAUAUUAUAGAAUUUUAUAAUGAAAUAAAAGUGCAUUUUAAUUAAAUUAGUAAUGUGUUAUUAGAAACAAAUUGGGAAUUUAUUAAUUUAUUUAAAUAAGGAAUAUAUUAGUUAAAUUAUAGAUAAAUAGUAAUAGUUAUUUCUCUUAUGUUAUAUUAGGUGAAGAUUAGAUUUUCCAGAAUUAUUUUUCUCUCAAGUUUUCAAGGACUUCUUUUGAGGUAAGGAAAAUUAAUGCAGUUAUUAUUAUUUUUUUUAGAAAUAAAUUUUUAUAUACAUCAUUUGAAAAUAUUUUGAAUUAAUAUUCGUUUUAUGCAUCGAUAAAAUAUGUUUUGUAUGAAAAGUAUGUUAGAACUUUAUAUUUUGUUUACAAUAGAGAAAUGUGGAGAUAUUAUGUUUUGCAAAUUCGAAUAAUUGAAAUAAGUGUUUGACUCUGGUUUGUUUGGCCCUUGUCAACGGGAUAUAAUAGUUGACCUUUACAUUUCUUGGUGGGGAAUGUAAUUGAUUUGGAUCCCAACCUCUAAGGGUUUGGUUAUAGGUUACUAGUACUAGUAGUGUUUAGUUCCGUUCACCUUAAAGGAACAAUUUGAGGCUAGCCACCUAUUCGAAAAGUCCCACCUAAUUGGGCUCCAUUUGAUGCUUGAUGAUCAGAGUAAAUAAAUAAUUUGAAUGUUUUGAUCGAAUUUGAUAUGAAAAUGCUUGAAUCAGAAAUGAAAGUGUACAAUUAAAAGUUUUGAAUGAAUUGGCAAAACUGACUCGAAGGUUUAUAAAAAUAAUUAGUUAUAAUAUCUCCUAUUUUGCAAGUGAACUUGAAAUAUUUGAUCCAUGAACUGCAUUAAUGUUCCUUAUUAGGCUUUGAGCUCAUUCCUAUUUGUUGAUUACAUUUUAGGCACCCUUAGUUCGAGCGAGGAGUGAUGGCUAGGUCGGGGAAUGGUCAUCAUUAGGAUUUUGAUUAGGAUGUUAUUUGGACAUUGUUAGCUUAUAAGUUUAUGUUCAUUUGGAUUAUUUGGUUUUUGGAAGCUAUUUAGAUAUUGAGCUUUUAAAUAUUUUUUUUGAUAAGUUUGAAGUUGAGAUUUGGAGAUUAUGAAAAUUUGUUAGCACUUGAUUUAUUUGAGUUUGCAAUCUAUUUGGAUAAUGGAUUUUGGUUGAUGGAUGCUUAGUUUUAAAGUUAAGUUUGAAGAUUUUAGAAUUUUGUUCUGCUACUCUGAACAGGGUUUUGGUAAUUGAUUACUUCCAGUUACAAUAUGAUUGUUUAGGUCAAGUUACACUUUAAGCCUUCGGGUUUGAGGUGUGAAAUGACCGUCAUGCCCUUGGAGUGGGUCUUGGGGCAUGACAGAGUGGUAUCAAAGCGCUAGGUUGUGAUCUUGAUGGGAACUUGUUUAGGUUGUCAAACAUACUUUUUUUUUUUUUUGUAAAUAUCAAAAAACAGUUUUCAAAUAUUAGUUACACGAGGGUACUACUUGUGUGAAACCUCGAAACUUCAUUUAUGGACAUUACUUACUUUAUUUGUGAACAUUAGAGUAUGACAUUAUGUGCACCUUUGAUAUAGUGGUGAUUGUACCUUAGGUACUACCUUAAUCUACCUUAGGUAUUACCUUAACCAACCUUAGGUACUACCUUAGUUAAACUUGGGUACUACCUAUGUGAAGCCUCGAAACUUCAUUUAUGGACAUUACUUAUUUUAUUUGUGAACAUUAGGGCGUGACAUUAUGUGCACCUUUGACAUAGUGGUGACUAUACCUUAGUAACCCUUAGAUACUACCUUAAGUACUACCUUAAUUAGACUUGGGUACUACUUGUGUGAAGCCUUGAAACUUCAUUUGUGGACAUUACUUACUUCAUUUGUGAACAUUAGAGUAUGACAUUAUGUGCACCUUUAAUAAGUGUUACUAAGGUAGUACUUAAGGUACAGUCACCACUGUAUGAAAGGUGCACAAAAUGUCAUGUUCUAAUGUUCACAAAUGAAGUAAGUAAUAUCCACAAAUGAAGUUUCGGGGCUUCACACAAGUAGUACCCAAGUCUAACUAAGAUAGUACCUAAGAUUGGUUAAGGUAGUACCUAAGGGUUAAUAAAGUAGUACCUAAGGUACAGUCACCACUAUAUCAAAGGUGCACAUAAUGUCAUGCUCUAAUGUUCAUAAAUAAAGUAAUGUCCAUAAAUAAAGUUUUGAGGCUCCACACAGAUAGUACCCAAGUUUAACUAAGGUAGUAUCUUAGGUCGGUUAAGAUAGUACCUAAGUUAAAUUAAUGUAGUACCUAAAGGUUACUAAGGUAGUACCUAAGGUAUAGUAAAUACUAAAGAAUAAUAAAUAAAAAUAAAUUAUCUUCGUAUUUUGGGUAGGAGUUAGGGAAAAAUGUAACAGAAUGACAAGAAGACAAGACAUUUUUUUUUAUGAAGCCGAUAUUUUGGAUUUCAGCUUUCCGUUUGAGUACGCUUUGCUAUAGCAAAAUCAAAAUCAUAGUUGCGCCUAUUGAAGCCAUCUUUUAACUGGACAUUCCUAGGAUGGAGUGUUCCAUUUGGCUGUUGAGAAAGUAGACAAGAAAGAAAAAUGCAGGUUGGAGUUUUGGAUUAAGGGUUUCUUUUCUCAAAUUAGAUAAAUUUUUGGAAAUUUUAGAUGGGUUUUAGGAUCGUCUAGUUGAUAAAGCCGAGAGAGAAAGAGAAAGAGAGAUAUGUUCCCAACCUUUGAGAGGAAGAAGUUUUAGAUUUGGGAAAUUUGAAAUGGUUCCCGAGUUGAGUGUUUUUUGUGUUUCAAAUUUGAGAAGUUUCAAAUUUUUGAAAAAUAUAUAAAUAUGCAAAUUGGAGUUUUAAGGGUUUCUUUUCUAAAAUGAGAGAAAUUUUGGAAAAUUUUACCAAGGUCUCUCCAGUUCAGCUGGGUGAGGAAGUGAAGAAAGAUGAGAGAAAAUGUUCCCAAAUAAGAGAGAUGAAAAGUUUUUGAUUUAGGAAAUUAGAGGUGUUGUCGGGACUGGUGUUUUUUGAGAACUUUUAGAUUCCAAUUUUUGUGUUUUGUUUAAUUUCAGAAGGUCUUGUUGACAUGGAAGCUGAUUUGUUGUUGACAUGAAGACAUUGAGGGGCAAUCUGGGAAGAGAAAAUGUAAACAUGACAUAGUGCACGAGAAUGAUAUUAUUUUCUCCAUUAAUAAGAAAAUCUCAUAUUUCAUAUACUUAAGUUUCGAAAAGCAUGUAAUUUUCAAAUCACAGGUGAAAAACACAAGUUUCCCAUAAAUAUGCUUAAAGCAUGUUUGAUAACAAUUUUGAAAAAUAAUUUUUGACAACGGUUAUUUAAAACUGUUUUUUGAUGUUUACUAGAAAAAGAAAAAAAACAUGUUUGACAACCUCUAAUAUUUUAAACCUAUCUUUAAUAUUUUUAAAAUAAUUUUUAUAUCUAAUAUUUUAUUUUUAAUAAUUCUAUAUAUUUGUAUAAUUAUUUUUUUUAAAUAAUCGUCAAAAAAUAAGUGAAAACAAGUAAAGAUGAUAUCCGAAAACAUUAUAUUUUUUAUUUUUAAAAACAGAAAACAAUUUUUCUUAUUCUCAAACAGGUUUUCCUGUUUUUUACUCUAAAGAAGAAAAAACUAUUGUCAAACAAUCCCUUAGAUACUUGUGUUUUAUCAAGUGGUGAAAUAUCUUCGUAUCAAUUAUAUAACAACUCAUAAGAGUAGGAGAAAAAGAGACAAUUUUAAAAGCAAACAAGUGGAAAUUAUUAGAAAAUAGGCGAUUAUAUAUAUAUAUAUAUAUAUAAGUUUUUAAUUCCGUUAAUUAGCAUAUUUAUAAUUUUAUUUAUUUAUGUAUAAAAUUUAAUUUUUGGAGAAAUUUUAGCUAUUCAAUCAAAAAUUAAAAGAGUAAAUGUAUUUACUCUAAGCCUCAUGGUGCGUGAAUUAAACCAACCUUCAAAGAAAAAUAGAAAAAAAAAAAGUGAAUCAUAAUAAAAAUGAGAGUAGUCAAAAUCAAAAGGAGAAUCAAAUUUGAUUUCCAUAUUAGUGAUUUUUUUAAUUAUAUUAUCAUUGUAAAAAAUAAUUCAAAUGCAUUAAUAAAUUGAAAAUAAAAUUAACUCUUAUUCUCAUUUUUUAUUCCAAUGUUUCAAAUAUAACUACCAUUUGUUGAUUAGUGUUGCCAAAUCCAAAUAAUUGCAUAGCAAUACAAAGAAAUAGAAUUGAACAUAUAAAACACAAGUUUCUCAAUAAAUAAAACCAUAGCGAAAGUGUAGGUAUAUGAAUAACACCAAUUUUAUCAUACAAUCUUAGCCAACACUUUUUUUUUUAUAGUAUCAAAAAGCUACUAAAAAAACAUUUCUUUUCAUCACCAAGAAAUUACUUUUUUAAAAUGAAAAAAAUACUUUCAUUGAAUGAAUACAUAAUUCGUAUUUGGAAUAAUUUCUUAUUCUUAGUUUUAAUUAAAAGCUAAAAGUCGCAAUUUUUUAAAAAUAAUAUUGAUAUUAUAAAAAAUGUAUUAAACAUAAAAUAAAAUAAAAACACAUUUUUGAAUAAGUCAAAAUAAAGCUUUAAAAAAAAAACAUUUUCUUUAAGUUAUUUUUUAAGUUAUAAAUUGUUUAAAUAAAAUGAGCGGCAUAAAAAAAUUUUAUUGAGCUUUAAAAAUGGUUUUUGACUACUCAAAAUCCACCAAAUUGGAACCAUAGUCCCCAAUAACUUGGGGCCAGAAAAAUUGGCAGAAGGUAUCAGUUAAAGUUCAGUACAUGCUACAUGCAUCCUGUUAAGGAACAUAAAAGCAAUUCCACAAUGCAUCACAUUUGGAGUUUUGGAUUUGGGUUUCUGAACUAAAAUGAGAGAAAUUUUGGAUUAUUGAGAACAAAGAAAGAUGGGAGAAAGCUUCCAAAUGAGUAAAUUGAAAACUUUUUUUUUUCUGAGAAGUUACAGAUUCAAAUUUUAGUGUUUUUUUCUUAAUUUUAGUGGUAUGGGAUGAUGGUGAGCUAGAGGCACAAAGGGGCAAUUUGGGCAUAGAAGAUGAAGCCAACUCAUAGUGCACAAAAAUGAUAAUACUUUUCAUAUUAAAAACUGAUUUUUAUAUUAAAUUUUAUACAUCUAUUUAAAAACAAUUAAAAUUUUCUGCAAUUUUCAAUUAUAUUAUAAGUACUGCCUCUCAUGGGUUGAUACUACUAGUGAGUGCAUGAAAUUAUUAGGGAGAAUUGUGUUUUGGGCCCAGCUGGGCCCAAAAAUUAACAAUUGGUCCAUAGAUGUUACAAAAUUAAUAGAAAGACUAUGAGAUAUUAACUGACCAAUAUGCCCUUCAUUAUUUCCAAGUUAGAUGGUUGUAAAUUAAAGUGGUUUCAUAGGUGUUAAACUUGAAAUGCCAUGUCAUCUGACUGAAAAAUCUGAAAUAAAUGGCAAAAAGGGUAUCCACCCUCCUACCCCUUUCUCUCCCUCCAUAAACACCAUGGUCAACAACAAAGCCAACUGUGAAUGUCCCCCAAUCGAUUUCUUCAACAGCCGAGGAUUGUGAGCAACUCAGAAAAGCCUUUGCAUGUAUUUUAUCAUCAUCAUUCCCAAAUCAAAAUGAGAGUAGGUGUGAAUUAUUUUUUCUCACAUUUUGAUUUGAUCAUGUUGGUUCCUUUGAUGAUGUGGUGGAUGUUUGUUUACUGGAUCAAUACAAGGUUUGAGGAAAGACAUCCGUUUUGAUCUCGUGUUGGGGUGUUCUUAAAAAAAUUUGAACUUAAUAACAGCGUGUUUUUGGGUGCAAGGUGGGGUAUAAAUGAGGCUUUGAUCAUAUCCAUCUUGGCUCAUAAGAAUGAAGCACAACCUAAGUAAAUUGAAGAAACUUACAAUUAAUUUGUUGGAAAAGAUCUCCUAAAAAAUGGCAUUUCACCUGUUUGAAAAUUCUUCACUUUAUAAUCUGGUUAUUGGGUUUAUAUUCUAGAGAAUAAAUGGGUAUGGUGCAGGCGGUGAGCUGUGGGGACUAGUUAGUGCACUUUUGAUGAAUAAGAAACUAAAUUAGGUUUCAUUUUCCCCCUUUUCACUGAGCCAUGACAUUGGGAAGUGGUUAACCGACCCAUAUGCACUCGUUAAGUUGUACUUAGGUUGAUUUCCUGCAACUGUACAAGACAUUUACACUAAGUAUACAAGGUCAAUGUACUAAAUGUACAAGGGUGUACAAGGGUGUGUAUCUUAAGGGUUUUCAAGUGAUUUUGAAGAACUUACUCAUUUACUUUUUCCAAUCGUGGGGGACAUUCCUCACACAUAUUGCUUGACAACACACUCAUUGCACGCAUUUCAUUUGAUGUCUACCAUGUUAAUUCAUUCUAUUAGCUCCCCUACUAAUAAUGCAUAUGAACCAAAACGAGUGUUAACUUUUUCCUCAUUUUUCCUUAUCCAUGAGAGUGGAACCAUUGUUUUCCCACCCAUAUGCAUUUGUUCGGUCGUCCCUAUAUUGGAUUUCGUUACUAUACAAGGCAUUUACACUAAGUGUACAAUGCAAAUGUGCUAAUUGUACAAGUGUGUACAAGGCUACCUAUCUUGAAGGAUUUCAAAUUUUUUUCAAAAAAUUCCUUACUCAUUUCUUGUUUCAUAGGGGGACAUUCCUUGCACUCAUUCCUCAUUUCCCUUCGUACACAUUCAUUGGAAUGUGCUAGUACACUUAUGAUGAAUGGGAACCUAAAUUGGGUUUCAUUUUCCCCCUUUUCACUGAUAGAAAGUUAUGUCAUAUGCUUAUUGGAAAUUCAAUAAUGGAGCAAUGAUGUCAUGUUUUAUCAUGCCUCAUUGAGCAUUGAAUUUUACAUAGCCUCCAAAAUUAAGUUCUUGUAGUUGUAAAGUUUCCAUUAGUGUCUACAUAACCAUGCAUGCCUUCAUGAUGUUGUCCGUGUUUACACCUGCAAAGGCAAUGGUCUGUGUGUAACCUAGUGUGUUGUUCUUCAACUUGUGCCUAGGAUGAUGGUGAUUACUACUCAAAAAGUGCUAUUUGAUAGCCUAUAAUUAAUCCUUUUAAACACUUUUGAGUAGUAGUUUUGGCCUUUUAACUCAAUUGGCAUGUUAAGGACCCUUGAAAGCAAUUUUGAUCACUUUGUGUAAGUUUUGGUGUUUUUGUUAGUAUUUUGAUCACCAAAGCAAGUCAAGACUGAGGAGAGCUAUGAGGAAUCUUGGGCAAAGCUUAGAAGUCAUUUGCCAAGAGUAAAUCCGGAUUGCAAGGAGAAAAAGCAAAGAGAAUCUGCCAUAAAGCCUAUUCUUGAUGACAGUCGUAGCAGCCACUUUUGGAGCACUUUCUGAAGUCCAAAUGAUGCAUGCUAUAUACCAUUUCAAAGCUCAGGAAGUCAACAAUCCAAUGCUUCAAACGGUGUGCAAUUCGGAGUUGAAAUGAAGAAGUUGCAGUCAUUACAAGCCAAUCACUCUGAGCUGAAGGAAGCAUUUUGCAAAGUGUUGCGAAAUCACCCUUUUGUUGCGAAGUGAUUUCGCAGCCUUUUUGAACAGUGUGAUGUUUCUCCUUCUGACGAUACCCGAUUUAUGCCACGAGAAGGAAGCUGGGAACCUCAAGGUGGAAGCCAACUUCGCAGCCCUGUGAAGAUAGCUUGGUGUUGCGAAAUUAUUUCGCAGCCCUCUUGAGUGUCUGCGAAAUCUCGCAGACACCAUUUUUCUCCUGCGAAAUGGUUCCUGAAGCCUCCCGAUAUUUGCUACCGACAUUGGGAGAUAUUUUCCAUUAGAUUUUUGUUGUCUAAAUCCCAAAAUACUCCUUGUAAACCACCAAUUACAUGAUUCCUUAGUUUUUAAGUUAGUAAAAAGACUAAAUAUCUAUGUAAUAAUUAGUUUUAAAUUAUGUACAUAUAUAUACCUCUCGGGAGCCUGUUCUCAGAGAGGAGUUCCUUCUGUAAAAGUUUGGGUAAGCAAGUAAAGUCUAUUUUCUUUCUACUGUCUUACCUUCUCACUUUGUAUUUUCAUUUUCUUACUAAGUUAUGAACUCUCUGAGGAGUUUUCCCCAGAGAAUGAGUAACUAAACCUCUAGUUCCUUGGAGCUAAGGUUGCCGGGGAAGGUUCCAAGUGCAAGAAUGCAAAGCUCUGUGGUUUUUGCUAGUAAUGUAGAGGAAGUGAAAUCCUUUAGUGAUUUCUGUGUUUUUAGUUAACUUAAAACACCUUAGAGUCACCUGGGCCAACACUUGGUAAGGCAAGUGAUUUCCAACCAUGGAAAUGCACUAGUUUACCCCUUGCGAGCCUCUGGGAGGUGACUUCAAGGUAGGAUUUUCUAGAAUAGCCAACACUUGAUAAGCUUUUGGACUCCAAGGAGACAUCCAUUAGUUAUCUCUUGCGAGCUUUUGACGGGUAAUCCAAGGUUAAAGAUCACCUUGAAUGGUUAAGGCUUAGUGAGAGGCAUGAACCAUUGCAAGUUGCAUCAGUGAGAGAAUUAAAGUGAAAUCUAAUUGAAGGAGUCUUUGUACAACACCGGUUAGAGAUUUGACUAUAUGUUGAAUCUCUAACGCGAGAAAAUGAACCAUCUGACCGGAGCUAUGUCUUUUGCAUGAGAAACCACCCCAGUGAACCUAAAUCUCCAAGGAAUGUUUUCUUCCUAAAUUAUUCCAAACUUCUGUUGUGUUAGUUAGUUUAAGUCUAAACCUUUACCAAUCAAAGUUUGUGUUUUACUUCUUAAGCUAACUAUGAAAUGAAACAAAACCAAUUCACUUGGAAUUGGUAUCAUUGAGAGCUUGUUAAUCUUUCCCAGUGGACGAUCCUAGAGCCACUAUACUAUAGUAGCUUUUUCUUUGCUACCCUAGUAUAUGGUGUUAUAGGUUAUAAAUUUUGUUGAUUACUCCCUCAAUCAAGGAGCACCAGCUGGACACAAAUCAGCUGAGACACCAAUUGGGCACGAAUCAGAUGGAUUUUAAAAUAGGUUGUUUGUAGGUUUAGCAUAUCACCUUGAUGCUUUGGUUUGUUAUUUGUAGAUUGAUGGAUGGACCAAGCUUGGUUUACAAGCUCGACCAGAUUGUAGCAUCACACCAUGCCCAAAUUGUCCUAAUUGAGCUUAUUGAAGGGUGCUAUAAAGUACUGAAAACUUCUAAAACAUUGUAAUGUACAUUUGUUUAUUAAAGUUAUAUUCUUUCAAACCUCUUUUCUUCCUAUGUUCAUCAUCCUUACCUUCGAUGUCACAUAAUGUUGACUAGCAUGACAAACUAAUUUCGAGUGAUAUAGUAACUUCAAAAUGCCUUGAUUUAUCUAAGUGUUGUAUGUGUGCUUAAAAAACAGCAAGAAAACAUCCAAGUUGUGACAGUAGGCCAUAUUAAUUUAUUAUGACUCAGUUAUUGCUACAGUUUCAAGGCACCUUGGAGGAUGCGAGAGUGACAUUACCCUCUUUGUUUUGUUCGCUUUUAGAUUGAAAUUUUGGUUCGAAAGACCGAGAACUUUGAUGAGUUGAUGGUUACUGCAGUUGAGGAAAGGGAAAUUGGAGACUACAAGGAACAAAACUAAAUUAAGAUGUUCUGAUCAUACUUGUUUUAGGAGUUUUUAAUUAAAUAUUUAAAAAAAAAACAAUAUCAAUUGAUAUACAAAAUUCAUAAUGUUUUUUUAAUUAUUACCAUUACUUAAGUCUUCACAUUUGCAUUAUUAUGUGAGUUAUUAUGCACUCUUCGUCGCCUCCCACUCCUAUCAGAUGGGGCCACAAUCAUAGAACGCAAAGGCAACUGGUCAUAGACGACUACUUCUUCAUCAGCUGUUAGUUUGGAAUAACAACAGUUUAGUUAAAUGAAGGGGACUAUAAUAUGAGUUAUUAUGUACACAUUGAUGCAGUAAUGAAUGUCCCACAUACUGUUACCAAUAACUGUUGGAUGCCGAAUUGGAGUGUCUGGUACGUCUUCAGUGCCAUGGAAUGCCAUAUCAUCUCGGUCAUAGUCUGAAUGUUGUUCGACCUCGGGAAAGUCAUAGGCUGCAUAGCCUGAGUGACUAGCAGCAAGCAAAGGUCGACUUCUUUCCCUUCGGGCAUCCAAUCUAUGCAUCAAACCACGCAUGAUGCCAAGCUGCUGCUGAAUGGCCUUUUGAUAUGCAUUUAUUGCACGUUCUGCUGCAUAGUACUUCUCUAAUAUUUCUUGUGACAUGUUAACGAAUUGCUUGAAGAUAAAUUACUCUAAAAUAUUGAAGAAAAUAUUCAUAACCAGUGAUUUACAAUAUUCCAGUAAGUAAACCUAAUUGUAAUGGCAUUCAGACGGAUUUAAUUCGUAAAGUAACAAACAGUAUGCGUACAUGACUACUUGUCAGGCCACUCUCAUACUCCACAUGUGUGCAGGGCAAUGACGAAUCAUCAAACCCCUACAGUUGAGAACAUGACGCAUAUUAAGAACACAUAAACCUUGAAAGUAUUCAAUUUGCAUGUCAUCAAAUUACAUAAUAAAAUGCAUGUAGAGUAAAUGACUACCUCGCCAUGUCCGAAACUACCAAACUCACUGAUCUCAGCAGCUAAGCGCUCCUUUAUCAACUCAUCUGACCAUGAGGAGAAGAGGGGCACUGUCAUAGGAACAUGAAUGGAAGGAAUCUUGAAUUUAAUUAUGUAUUGGAGCUGCACCAUGGAAAUAAACAUAUGUGCAUUUGUUACUUGCUAGUAGUGAUGUUAACAAUUAAAAAGUGGCCAAGUAAUCAAUGUAAAAGAAGGGCAAUACCUAGAGAAAGAGAAUGCAACCAUGUACCCACACACUGUUUCGUUGCUUAAAUCGUCUUAUACCCUCAACAAGCUGGUCAACAAAAAAUUGGCCCCAAUUGACAUUGUUUCUAAAACCAUCUUCAUGGAUGGUAUGCCACAAGUUUUGACAUCCAUCUAUCAUUGAGGUUGAUGCCAAUAUUGUCGCACAUGCGUAGUAAAGGAAGCAUCUACGAAACUCCUUCCCGACAGGUAAGUUAAGGAGUCUCUCCUCACAAGUGUUGAGUGUACCGAAUGGAUGAUCAAAUGAGGUUGAUGCAAUUUGUAGAAUCCAUCCGGUUGUCGGGAGGCCAAAUACAAGGCCCACAUCAGCAGCUGUCAGAUCAUAGCUUUUGUCGGAUAAUAUGUCUAUGCGUUUGAAGCCAACGUUAAAAUGGUCGAUAAGCCAUAGACAUAUAUUAUGUCGUAUCUCCUUGCAAUUUAAGUUUAGAAGACCUCCAAAUUGAAGGUCUCGAACCACUUCCAAUUUCUCAACUGGGAACAUGUUGCAUAGUUUUAGGAAUCUUGAAGAUGAACAACGUGUGAACAAUCUGGUGGCCUGCAUUAGAAGUGUGGGAGAUAAUUAGUAUCUUACACAUGAAUUUUAGUAAUCAACAAAAAAAUAAGAAAGUCAAUAUGAAUACAUAAACGUGGUAAAAAAAAAAUACAAUUGAAUGAACUAACAAACAAAAUAAUGUGGAUGAAUAAUUUACUAGUGGAUGUUUAUGUAAUAAUGAAUAUGUAACACCCAUAACAAGUAACUGUGUUAAGUAGGUUAAAAUAUCAAGUAUCCGAAAUAAGUUAUGAAAAUUAAAAACCAAGAAAUAAUGCAAUACCUCCGCAGUGGCCAUUGAAGAAUGAAUUUAUUGUUGAAUGCUUGAACCUUGGAAUAACCGGUAACUUCAAAUGGGUGCUAUAGUAGUUAUCGCUAAGCUGGAAAGACUAAUAAUAAAGGGAAAGGUCAUUUGACUAUUCAUACCAUUAAUCAGUUGGAUAAAUUUGGUAAUGGUAUACCAUAUUCAAAUUUAUAAGGUAAAAAUAAAUAAAAUAAAUAAAAAUAUGGCAAUUUAGGAAAGCGUUAACAGUUUGGGCGCAAACACGUGUAUGAACUACUAUCCUACUGCCAACUGAUCAUAUAAAUUACUAGAUAAUAACUGGAAUGGUUACAACGUGCGUAACAAGUAUAUCUCAUUGAAGACAAAUUGAAAGACAAUUUUUAGUACAUGUUAGGAAUUCAUGACACAUUCAAAUAGGUGCAACCAAAAAUGCUUGAUAAUGUAGACACACUGAUGGAAUUAAAUAACAAGUGAAAAGAAACCACAUUCAAAUUGCACUUUCAAUUAAUUAGGUUAAUCAAAGCAAUUGUAAAUCAUGAAAAGAACAAAAUAGUGCAUCGUGCCUAUAAAGAGGCCAAUACAUAAGAACGAAAAUCAACAACCCCAUACCAUAUACCCUACAAUAGAAUGUAUGGGAUGAUACAAAAUAUGAGAAUCGUACAAGCACAAAAAAGACACAUGUCAUGGCAACGGAUUAUUACAUUUAGAGUAGUUGUGACCUAUGCCAUUGCAUCGAGAGCAAUGAAUUGCUCUCUUAUGACUAAAUUGUGACUCAAUGCGUCUUUGGCGGGGUCUUCCUGGAGGAUGUCUCACAUGAGGGGGUUGGAGAGUAGGAAAGAAUUUGCCCGCACAAUCUUGCAAACUCCCAUCGUCACAAACUUUCGGCAUAUUGUGUGUUGGUAAUAGUUGAAUGAUUACUACCCAAUUAAUUAUAAUGGUUAAUUGGGUAGUAAUCAUAUUCAUUUAACCCAAUUAAUGGUUUUAAGCUAAUUAUAAUGGUUUUAAGCACCUUUGAGUAGUAAUCAUAUUCAUUUAACCCAAUUAAUUCAUUAAGGACCUUAGUAAUUGGUUUUAACCAUUUUGUGGCAAGUUUACAUGUUUUUAUCAGCUUAUGAAUCAAUUCAAGCAUGCCAAAUGAUGGAGGAGCUACUUGGACAAGUUAUGGCAAAGCUUUUGGAAGCUCAAAUUCAUGAAGAACCAAGCUUUGGAACUCCAUAUCCCUUUGCCAAAGUCGUUCAAAGUAUGCAAUGAAAGAACAAUGGAGAAGAGGAAAACAAAGUGAAAAAAUCAGAGGACAGCAGCUGCAAUCUUCUUUCGCACUUUUGGAGCACUUCCCGAAGUCCAUUUUUUACAUGCUAUAUACCAUUUCAAAGCUCUGGAAGUCAAAAAUCCAACGCUUCAAACCGUGCAUGAUUUGGAGUUGAAAUGAGGAAGAUAUGGCCUUCGGAAGACAACUGCUCCAGGUUAUGCGAAAUUCGCAUAACACCUUCAAAAUUCGCAUAACCCAUGCGUGUUGCGAAUUUUCCUCUGCUUUUGCCGACUCCACUUUAGAUAUUUUCCUUUGUAUUUUGUGAUGUAAUUUCCUUUCUUAUCCUUGUAACUAACCAAUCACAAGCUUUUGCUUUUGUAAAGACUAUAUAAGAGGUGGAAAUCACCUCUUGGAAGAUAUAGAAGAUAUAUUACGUUUUACACUUAGAAUAGAUACAGAGCUCUCUCGUUUCUCCUGUUCUUUCCCAUUUCUAUUUUCUUAGUAGCCAAACAGCCUCUGAGGGCUUUUCCUUAGAGGAUGAUUGGCUAAGACUUUUAGUUUCUCAAAGUAUGGAUGUUAUGUGAUGGCUUGGAUGCAAUCCCAUGGAAAUUUCUCGCACCCGGAAGGUAAGGUAGACGUUUUUCAUUAAAGGUUCAUUAAUGCAAAGUUUGGUUUUUAUUUCCUUUGGACAACUUCCAACGGUCAAUACUUGAUAAGCUUUUGGAUUUCUAUCCAUUAGUUAUCUCCUACGAGCUAUUGGAAGGUGAGGUUUUCAAUUCCAAAUUUUGCAUUAAUCCGUUAGAACCAAUUUCAAUGGUCAUUAAAAGGUGAGUUUAUCACUUGGAAUGACUUUGAGUUGCCAAUAUUUGGUAAGCUUUUGGCUAUAGACCAUUAGUUAUCUCUUACGAGCCAUUCAAAGGAAGUCUAAGGUGAAUAACCAUUGAUGAAAUUCACUACCAUCUGUUUUGCCAUUUUAAAGGAUUAAAACUUGAUUUGCUAAAUCCAUACCGGUUUGGGAAGCAAGCAUCACCAUAGUUGCAACCCCAACGCGAGGAGCCUAUCCUGAGAUUUCCAAUUUGCAUAAGAGCCAGAGCAUAGCUAUCCUAUCUUUGAGAAACUUGUUUUUACACCCUUUCAUUUUAGUCUUUAAUGUUAGCUUAGAUUAGUUUAAAUCUUUCUAAAACAUUUACAUCUUCUUUUAAAGCUAACAUCCAUAAGAAAAUCACCUAUUUUCCUAAUUUGAAUAUCACUAGUGUUUGCGAAAACCCUUCCCAGUGAACGAUCCUAGAACCACUAUGCUAUAGUAGCUUGGCUACUUUAGUAAUAGUAUCUAAGGUAUAAAUUUUGUUGAUACGCCUUUAAAGUUAAGCUACCAUGAUUCGAAUCAUUGAAAUUGACCCAAGUAAAUCAAAUGUUGCAUAAAGACAUGAAAACAUGGGUCAAUAUACUCAUACACGUUGUGUCUCAGUGUGCGGAUGACAGCACAUACGUGUGAACAUGGCCAGCUGGACAUUUUCCAUGUCAUGCAAGUACACGUACGUUGAUUGAUAUCGACAACCAAAAUAAACCUCCCCAGUAAACACCUUAAACGUCUCCCCCAAAUAGGGCAACACACUAAUAGGACCAGACCUCGUGAUAUUUGACAUUAGCUUCUCUUCAAUUUUCGGUCCGACCACACUCUUCCACUUUUGUGUACCACGCAUAUGGGUGUCCAACAUGGCUACAAGCUUAUCCAUGUGCAUUAACAAUAACGUAUAAAUUGUUUGGUGACGCUUAUCUCUUAACCACACAUUGAAGGACUCUACAAUGUUAGUUGUCAUUUUAUCCCAUCGUUUUUUAAGAAACUUUGACAUUGCCCAAUGUUCAGGAUUGUUUUCCGCAACCCAUUUUGCGAGGCUGUCAUUGAAGCACACAAGUUUUUCAAAUGCCUCGUUGUGGUCUAUCUCCAACCUAGCAUAUGCAAUGUUGUCCAAAAGUAACAAAGCAUCUUCUUUCCCUUUUUUUCCUCUAAUGUUUUGCUUAUUCAAGAAGCUAGAAAAGUUUUCAUUUGCAUGUCAUAACAAUAUGCAUGAUUUCCUGUCCCGAACAACUCGGAAACACUACGCAAGAUUCCCUAAUGUCUAUCUGAUAUAAUAACAACUUCUUUACCAUCUAAGACUCCCUUUAAUUUCUCCAAAAACCAAUACCAGUCCUCAUAAUUUUCUGAACUAACCAUACCAAGGGCUAGAGGGAACAUUCCAUCAUCUGCAUCAUAUGCAAUGGUGGACAAAAGAGCCCCCUUAUAUGGUCAGCUUAGAUGGCAAGAAUCAAUAGUCAAUACUAGUCGACACCCCAUGAUGAACCCUUGAAUUGAAAAUGCAUGGGCAAUGAACAAUUGCAUGAAGUGACCUUCAUGGGAAGUGUACACAGCAAUUGUGCCGGGGUUGAUUUCCCUUAGCCUAUGGCAUAACCAAGGGACAAGCGUGUAGGACUCACGUGAAGCUCCAUAUGUGCGCUCGUUUGCCUUUUCUUUAAGGUGUCAUACUUGGUUAUAUGUCAAUUGAACUCCAUGAUCACGUUUAAAAUCCUUACAAAUUUGACAGGGAAGAUAGUCUAGAGUGGUUCUAAACACAUCUUCAACAACAACCGCGUCUCUCUUUGAAGAAACCUUGACCUUGGAUGAACACUCAUCCUAAGCGAUAUGAUUAUGAUUCACUUGGUCAGUAUGAACUCGCAAGAUGACAUUUCCCUCUACAACGUGAGUUGUUAUCUUUUAAGGACAACCCUCAACUGAACACUUUACAGACAUAUGCGUAAGGGAAUUUUUCUUGUACUUGUAUUCAAACCUUCCACCUAAUGACAUUUGGUAAAUUGUGUUGCGAAACUCCUUAGCAUUUUUAAAUGUAUGUCCCGACCCUAAUAUUGUCUCACGAAAACAAAUCGAUUCCAAAAGGGUGUACUCACUAUCUACACAAUGCGACGCAAAACCUAUUGAUAGCAUCAUAGUAUUAGGAAUUGCAUCGCAUGAUGCAUUAAAGGAAGGAAAUGGCGCAGGUGGACCUCUACAUUUACAUACAUUAACAUAAUUAGACUACGUGAUGCGUAAAAUUGAUAUUCACAAUAUUUUAAAUAGACAUUCAUGUUAAAGUCCACUACCCAAUUGCCAACUCUGUAUUCGGUAUAUUUGCUUCAAUGGCUUCCACACAGGGUAAGUCUACUAGGUAUACAUUUGCAAAGUCAUCACUGUGGGAAACCACGUUAUCCAAGUCAUCCUCAUCUUCUAAAUCUUGGAUGACUCUGGGGUUGAACUUGAGGGUUUAGUGCAUCUUCAUCGCAUCAAAGGAGAUGUCGAAUUUCUCUAAGAUUUUUUUGGUGAAUUCUUCAAAUGACAUUCCUUUAUAUAUGUGGAUACCUUUGCUUCUUCCACCCACGUAUUCCCAUUGCCCAUCAUUUUUUUGGACAAGUUUGCCUCCCACGAAAAUGUAACAAUAUAUCCUAUUAGUUGUGUCCAUCAACCUAUACAAACAUAGCACAAAUUUCAUAUUAUAGAACAAACAAUUGUGCAUAUUAUAGAAAAUGGGGUUGAUCUUCUCUCUCAUGUGGCCUUUUGCUUUCAAGUUGACAUUAUUAUUAGUCGCCAUGUCAAGUUUAUCAGCCAUCAUUUAUACAUAUACUUUUCCUUUUGUUACUUUACUUAUUCUGUUUUUUCACAAGUUGGUUGACUCUUUCUCUGUUUUUGCAUAUUGUUAUGACCCUCUGGAUCCUAAUGGGAACAUCACAGUUACUUUUGACACUCAUAAAUGGACAGAUGAUGGCAAUGUGGUAAGUGUUUUGACUCAUGCUCAAUAGUCAACUUCAAAUUUCUCUGAAUUUCAUUCUGGUUGAAUUGUAUGCUGAAAAUAAUAUUGACUUACAUGAGUUUGCUAUUCAACAUCAGUGAAUAGUAAACAUGGAUUGUUGGAAACCAUUUUGGAUUUCAAUGAGAAAUCCCUUGAUUCAUUUGUUAUGUAUUGAAUCCCUAGUUGUUGGUCUGAUUUAAUAGAAUUAAGGGACAUUGAACUAGCUUUGAACUAAUUUGUUUCUUUAUUUGCCAUUUAUAUUCAUGUUAGCUACAGAUUUCAUGAAGUUGGAAAUGAUAAUCUAUCUACACAUACUAAGUAGCCCAUAAUAUCUCAUACUAUAGGGUCACCAAAACUUGGGUUUUAUCGAAGAAAGUUAACAAACGAACUAUCGUACUUAACUAGACUACCACACGAGGAAGCCAAUAUAAUGCUAAAAGAUUUUAUUUGAACCAAAUGAGGAAAAAUAUGUCUACAAAAGGAAAAUCAAUUUGCAUUGACUAAUCAUAUAUUAGAAUCAAAUUGCACGUAGAAAACAAACUUCUUAAAUGAAUAUGCAAUGCUAAAUCAAACAAACAUCAGUGAACCAAGUAAAAUGUAGGCAAAAUCAAAAAAUAUUUUUAUGUCAUUUUCAUCAUCACCAUUAUCGUUCAUUCCAAUUGCGGGUUGUCAUAUUGAUGGAGAAACAAGUCAAUCAUGGUGACAUCAUAGGUUAAUAAAAAGAAGUGGGUUUUCUAUGUCAAGCCUAUCAAUCAUGUAAAUUGAACACAAACAUAAUUAUCUAAACAAAAACUGUUGAUACCACAACAUGCAGCUACAAUUAACCUAUGAAGAUCCUCACUAUUUCAAACUGUGAGCCAUGUCUUAGAAACACCAUAACCCACAAUGAAAGAUGACUAUCAAGAGAUCAAGUCAUCCACACAAAAUAAAGAGUUGAUAAUCAUAAUGCUAAAUCAAAAAACACCCAAUAUAUAUAUAUAUAUAUAUAUAUAUAUAUAUAUAUAUAUAUAUAUAUAUAUGUUAAACCAAAAAACAUUAGUGACGGGGUUUAAGCUUAAAAAAAAAAGACCGUUUUACCUGAUGCUAAGAGAAGCUCCCUCCUCAAUUCAAACAAUAAGCAACCUCCAGAAAGUCCCACCAAACAUCAAAUAUCCAACAAUGCUCAGCACAGAGGGCACAGUCGAUGGGGAUCGAUCAAGGAGCAAUAUAUGGCAAACUGAAAUCGCAAGAUAAAUUAGGGCAAUGUAUUUGGGCUAAAAUCAAAUGGUCCGGAUAGCCGAAAUGAAGCAUAAAAUGAAAUUGUUGAACCUACUAACCUCAACUAUCAACUACUUCACCACGGAGCCCAAAUCCAAUGGUGAUCGUCGACGCCAAUAAAUCAAUAGAGAUGAAAAACUCCACUACCUACACCUAAAACCAGAUGGUCGGGAAAUACGAGAUCGAGAGAUAACGAGAUUGGCACAGAGGAUUAGGGCAUUCUUUGGGCGGAAGCGAGGGACGAAGUUGGGAAUGUGAAAACGCCUAAUGCAAACUCCAAUUUGGGAAAAACAAAGGGAGAAAUCCAACAUGGAUUUUAGAUUUUUUUUUUUUUUUUUAAUACCCAGGAAAGGGCAUUUUCAGCACAUUAUACAUGGGAUAUCCUUCUUAUCAAUUUUGAGAUUUUGUUUGGGUGGUGGGCUUAAUUUUGUAACAUCUAUGGACCAAUUGUUAAUUUUUGAACCCAACUGGGCACAAAACACAAUUCUCCCAAAUUAUUAUAAAUAUCUCAUGGAAUGAGGACAAAUUAAAUAAGAGGAGUGAGAGAGGGAGAAGAAGAAGACAACCAAAAAAGAAAAAGAAGACAGCAUUGUAAACAUAGAAAGUGGAAAGUAUUGGAAAUAUUUCAUGAAAUCGGAGUAAACAACAAAACAAAAUUAAAUACUUUUCAUCCCUGUUUCCUACUUCUAUCAUAAAGUAUGGAUAGACAUAUAGAUAGAGAUGAGGAGAAGGAGGAGAAGGAGGAUCACUCAGCUUUCACCAGUCCUGCAGUGUGUUCUGGUGGUGUAGCAUAUGGUAGGAUGUCAUUCUUGCUCCAAAAGUGUGGGCAGAUCCAUUUUUUUUUCCUUUUUUCAUCUCUGUCCUCACUGAUUCGUUUUGGAUUUCCAUCAGUAUUUAUCAGUGGGCUUGGUGUUAGUCAAAAGCCACCUAUUUUUCUUUCCUUUUUUUCCCAUAUAUUAGAAUGAAAUGUUGUUGUCCAUUUUAGGGGAAGGCGUUAUGCUGAACUGAAUUGUGCGAGGGGAAUGAAAAUUAAUUUAGGGGUUUUUUUCCUCCUCUAUUUUUGGCUCUCUUUCAUGAGGGUACAGAUUCUCUUUUUUCUCUCGGAGUGUUUGGAUUGUUUCAUUCCAUUUAACUAUUUUUGCAGCAUAUUCCGAGUGUUAUAGGUAUUGGGUAAUCAGUAUUACAGAAAAUGUAAUAUAAUUUUGUACUAUGUAUUUUUGGACUUGGGGUAGGACGAGUUUAAUUUAUGUAGAUUCAUGUCACAAUUCUCCGCCUUCAAUGCAUUGAUUUCUCCAGAUUUUGAUAUAUAUAUAUAUAUAUAUACAAACUGCAAUGGGAAUAAAAAGGAUGGUUGUUUCUUCAAGAAUUCUGAGAAAAAAAAAGGUGGUGGUGGGGGGGAAGAGAGGUUUGAGGAGGCCAUUGGGACUUUUAUCAGUUCUGUGUCUUUUGUUUUCAAGUUGUAAGAAGUCCCUGUUAUGCCAUUUGCUAUGUUGUUUGUGUCCAAUUUUCAGUUGAAAGAGUGGUAGAUUAGAGAAGGAGGAAUGGCUCAGACAUCUGGAUGCAGCUCUGGAGAUGGUAGAUGGUCUCUCAAGGGAAUGACUGCUCUUGUAACUGGUGGAACUAAAGGAAUUGGGUUUGUGAUGUUACCUGUAUUUUAUGUCUUUGGUUUGGACUAUACCUUCCUUCCCAUAUAUAAAUGUAUGCAUCAAUUAUGCAGGCAUGCAAUUGUGGAAGAACUGGCUGGACUAGGAGCAACCAUACACACAUGUUCUAGAAAAGAAACCGAGCUCAAUGAAUGCUUGAAGGAUUGGAAAGCUAAAGGUUUUGGAGUGAGUGGUUCAGUGUGUGAUGUAUCCUCUCGGGCCCAAAGGGAGAAGCUAAUGCAGACUAUCUCUUCUGUGUUCAAUGGGAAGUUGAAUAUCCUUGUAAGUUCCUCUAGCCUGUAAAGUUCCAACCUGUGAUCUUACACAAAAUUUGUUGAACUUACUACAAUUGAGUUCCCCUGCUUGAAUUUUUGUUGGAUUCAGAUCAACAAUGCUGCUAUAACUAUUCAGAAACCAACAGUAGAGGUCACAGCUGAAGAGUUCUCAACAAUCAUGGCCAUAAAUUUUGAAUCUGUGUAUCAUCUGUCCCAAAUCGCACACCCCCUUUUAAAGGCAUCAGGAGCCGGAAGCAUUGUAUUCAUCUCCUCUGUUUGCGGCAUAGUGGCACACAAGAAUAUCUCUGCUUAUUCAGUAACCAAAGGUAUUUCAUCACAUGAUCCGUGGUAUAUUCCAAGUGCUAGGAGCAAAUUCCUAUUUAAGAGAGCAAUACCGAACAUGAGAAACAUAUAGAAUUUAUAGCGGUUCUCUUCUAAAGGGAGAGCUACAUCCAUUUUACCAUUGUAGAUUUUCAUUAUGAAAAAAAAAACCUACACAACGAUCUCAUGUCUUACAAUAAUCAUCUCUCCUCUAAUUUUCCACUGAGAAAACAGUCACCAUGCAUGUAUAAAAUAACUAAAAUAUCCCUUUGAUUGAUUCUCAGUCACCAGGAAAAGUGUAUAUUGUAAUUAGCAAGGCUCCACACAACUGAACAGCAAGUCCUUGGAUUGACCAUCUGCCAUUAUCAUUUUGUGAUUUUUCAGGAGCAAUGAAUCAACUUACAAAGAAUUUGGCAUGUGAGUGGGCGGAAGACAAUAUUAGAAGUAAUGCAGUUGCUCCUUGGUACAUCAAAACUCCGAUGGUGGAUCAGGUAAUUCAGUUGCUCUAUUUUUUUUGUCUGGGAAAAUUCCAUAAUCAAUUCCUCUCUCUUUGCUGUCUUUUGCAUAAUCUGGGUUGCAGAUGCUCAGUAACAAAACCUUUCUGGAAGGGGUGAUAAAUCGAACUCCACUUCGCCGUGUGGGAGAUCCGAAGGAGGUGUCAUCUGUGGUGGCAUUUCUCUGUCUACCAGCAUCAUCGUACAUUACUGGACAGACUAUUUGUGUUGAUGGUGGCAUGACUGUUAAUGGGUUUGAGCCAAACCUGCUCUAGGAACAUCGAUCAUAUCAUGCGUGAUGGUGUUAUAGCCUUUGGCUGGCUUAUGUAUGGGAACUGUCUCAAUAAUUAUAGCUUCAUUGUCUGGAUCCCGUCCCUUUUCCUGAACAAUCUGCUUGUGAUGGUAAUUUUUUUUCUU
rnacentral:lncRNA from 1 species